UUAAGACUCUUUGUUUUGAUUUUGGU
rnacentral:piRNA from 1 species